CCAAAAUGAAGAUUUUUUCAUGUCAUUUUACAAUCACAUUUUAAAAUCUAGCUGCCAUUAGUAAUGAUUAGAACUUUAAUGAUGUCAAUCCACAUAUAGUUAGCAGUCUUUAUUGUAACAAAAGGGAGCUUGUAUUUGGUUAGGAUGACUGUGUAUGUAUUUACUCUCUUCUGUGCCUUUUUCUGCUAUUACCUGAAAAUUCCUUAUACUCAACAGCUGAUUCUUUUCAAAAGAUUAUUAGUGUACUUUUGUGUUUCCUGUAUUUUGUAUUGAAUAUAGUUUUUCUUUAAACUCCAUUUUUCUUUCUUAUAAUAUGUAAAAGUUUUCCCUUGCAACAACAAACUUAUCAAAGAUGAACUGUCUCCAUACAUCUGCUGACAGCAACAGUUGAGUGCCUUCAGUGCAUUACCAAAAGAGGCACCCCUUCUCUUUACUGAGAAGUAAGGAGCACAGAAAGUAGAAAAGUUAAGGAAGGCAAACACAAAUUAUUCAGAGGAGAAAACAAGGAAAUCGUGAAAGAGGAACAGUGUGAACAAGUUUGCUCAGAUGACACAGAUAAGCCAAAAGCAAAGGCCAAAGAAGUAAGACACACAGCAAGCAACACUGGAACAUAAAGGGGCAAAGAAGUAGGGCAACUCAGUAUUCAAUCAGCUAGAGUUUUUAUUGCUAAACAAUUGUUAUACAUAAUUCUCCUGUCUCCCUAUUUUUUCAAAAUAUAAAUAAUUAUUCAAAAUGAUCAAUUUUUCUAAUUUAAAUGUAGAACAAGCUGUAUUGCGUUAAUAUUUAAUUACUUUCUUAAAUGUAAACAGUACACGAUAGGCAAAGCAUUCUAUUUGGUACAACUUCCAUAACCUAAGUUUGCAAAUUCUGUUUGCAUUUGAUAAAACCUAUGGGCAGCAAAUCUGAUCAUGUGGCAUUUUGGGGGUUUUAUUUGUUUUGGGGGGGUUUUUUUUGUUGUUUUUUUGGUACUAGGGAUCGAACUUGGGUCCUUUUCGCUUUCAAGGUAGGCGGUGGAACCACUGAGCUAAAUCCCUGGCCCCAUUUUGGGGUUUUAUAUGAAGUAGUUAAAACACCAUAAUCCAUUUAACACAAAAUAAUUAAUGUACACAACAAUUUUAUAGUAAAUCACUUAUGAACUUUAAUAAACCAAAAUUCUUUUCAUUUUCAACCUGAAGAACCACUUCUUUCUCCCUAUACCUUUUCUUUCAGAAAACUUCACAAAUAAUAAGAAGGUGUGAAUGGGCUUCAGAGUGAGAGGCAACAGUAACUUUGCUGCUUGAGGACCCUCUCACCUCUGGAAAGUGUUGAGCUCUGAACGGUGUCAUGUGUCUCAGUAGCUUAGUCCUCCCUCAAAUAUUCAGAGUUUUUAAGGUGGUGGAGAUGGAAUCCAGGGCCUCACACAUGCUGGCCUGAAACAAAGGAUUCCCCUGCCUUACCCUGCAGAGUCCAGUGGGAUUCCUGGCCUGCACCACUGUGCCUGGCUCACAUAUUCAAACUGCUGAUUGCAGGUAUCAUGCUGAUUCUUGAAACCAUUGUAAACCCUGCCCUAACCGUGCCUAAAUGUAUGGACCUGACUUGGAGUUUAGAAAUACCACAAACAGCUAGCUCCAAGUCAUUAUUGCAUUCAUAAAGACCAGCACUAGGAUUCUUACCUCAGUGCACUGGCUCUUAACCACCACGCCCGCCGUGUGUCUGCCUCUUCACUGGUGUUUAGGAGCUCAGAGGUGCAGAUCGAGUCACUCAGCUUUCCUAAGCCUCAGCUUCCAAUUUUUAUCAGUGAGCAUAGUGCCGUGGGAAUUAAAGGACAUAGCUAGCUUCUUAGGUCAUCUGUAAUCAUGCCUAGGUCAGGGAUGCUACGGGACACCAGGUACUGUAAAACAUACCGCCUUGCAAGGCAAAAGGCUUCUCUGAUCUGUAGAUGAGUUGAAACCCACUUAGAGCAGGUCAUUGUAGAUAAGGCUGAAUAAUACUUGACCUGUGAGGACAGCUGAUUGGUAAGUAGCAUACAUUAGUGGGUCUUCUGAUGCCCAUAUGUUCUAAGGUGGUAACACCAGUUUCCCUAUUUUACAAUUUGUCUACUUGUGUAUGCUUUGAAAAGCCCAUGAUACAUUAAUACACCAGUGAUCAGCAAAAGACAAGCACCAGGCCCUUUGCUUCCAAGGAACCCGGAGCCUGGACUGGAACCCAGAGACCUGGGCAGAGUUUGAAUUGACAGCCCGGACUCCUGAUGAGCAGUAAUCCCCCUGCUUCUGUUUCCCCGUGGCCUCCAUGCCGUGCUUUGGAAGGAGGAGAAGUCAAGCCAGAGAGACGCGACAGUGGAGAGCAAACCCUGGUGCAUUCAUGUCUCUGCCUGGCCCCUCUUCCUGUCAUUUACUUGUCUCUCAAGGCGUUUUUGUCUGUCUCCCUGCUAGAAUCUAAGUUCCAGGAGGCCAGGGAUGUUUGAUUGUCCUGUGCCUCGCUGUGUUCCCAAACCCCGGGCAGUGACUGGCACACACCUAUCGCUCAACAAAUGCUCAAAGGGGAAAAAAUGUGGGGAUAAUUGAUUUAGAAAAACGUGGGUAAUAAAGAAAAUGUUGUUGGAGAACAAGCCAUUUCAAGUCUUGAUUUACACAGGUAAAUUUAACUGGAAAAAGUUACUAAAAUAUUUCAUAGGGUUUUUCCCCAAAUUAUUAUUUUUUAUUGAUAUAUAUAGUCCAUCUACCAUUAAAAUUAACCCAUUUAAAGCAUAUGUUCCUAUGGUUUUUGGUAUUAUAGAAAGAUUUUCACUAUCUUUUUCAAAGUAUCAACUAUUACAUAUAUAAACUCAGUAUCUGAUGAGACAUGAGAACUGGCCACACAGACAUGUGAAAAAUAUCAGUUCCACCAAACGUCAUUAUUAGACAGUCUUUAGUGACUCUGACACUGAAGUCGUGAAUUGCUAAUAACUAGGGUUUUUCCGUAUGGAAAUCCACAUAAUCCUCUUUAAGUAAUUAAUCACUGUCAAUGCUUAUACUUAAACUUGUAUGAAAAAAUGAUACUCAGAUUGGUUCUGUAUGAUAAAUGCAUAUGAAAACAAUAAAAUUCUAAUUCCGAUUGGCACAUGUACCUAUUUCUUUAUUUGUAUCAUUUACGUGUAUAUGUGGAAUCUGUUUUAUGUUGUCAUCUUUUCCUUGCAUGAAGGGAUGAGUGUUUAUGAUACUGAAGUAUGUGAGGCUGUAAAUGGCAUUUACAUUCAAUAACUACAUCGAUGCUGCUUCUGCAUUUAAUCGCUGGCUGGAGAUAUUUAUUGCUUGGUGUACUAUUCUCCCAUAAACAGCACUACCUCAAUAGGACACUCUCUUACUACUGAUUAUUUUCCCCUUUCCGUGGAAAUGAAAAAAAAAAAAACAACCAUUUUAUAAAAAUAAAACAUUCCCA
rnacentral:lncRNA from 1 species